rnacentral:rRNA from 1 species
CCUACGGGUGGCAGCAGUGGGGGAUAUUGCACAAUGGGGGGAACCCUGAUGCAGCGACGCCGCGUGGGUGAAGGAGGGUUUCGGCGCGUAAAGCUCUAUCGGCAGGGAAGAAGAUGACGGUACCUGACCAAGAAGCCCCGGCUAACUACGUGCCAGGAGCCGCGGUACUACGUAGGGGGCAAGCGUUAUCCGGAUUUACUGGGCGUAAAGGGGGCGCAGACGGGUAUGGAAGGCAGGAGUGAAAGCGCGGGGCCCAACCCGGAGACUGCUGUUGAAACUGGAUGGCUGGAGUGCAGGAGAGGCAGGCGGAAUUCCUAGUGUAGCGGUGAAAUGCGUAGAUAUUAGGAGGAACACCGGUGGCGAAGGCGGCCUGCUGGACUGUAACUGACAUUGAGGCACGAAAGCGUGGGGAGCAAACAGGAUUAGAUACCCCAGUAGUC